CUGAGCUUUCCCGGUAAGCAGCCUCAGCUCUUUCUGAAGUGAACAAAUUAGAUUUAUUAACCUUCUGGGAUUGAUCCCCAGAAGCACCGCCAGGGAUGAGAGUGUACUGCUGGCUUGAGUGAAGGCCUGCAAUAUUUUCUAAGCAUGCAGCAUAAUAGCAUGUAGGAUGAUGUUUCAGUAGAUGACAUACAGUUAAAAUUACCCAUUGUAGGAUAAUGUAAUAGGCUGUUGAUUUCAAGUGCUGCAAUUUCUUUCUUUGAAUUGUACUCGUGAAUGUAUGGAGAUGUUUAUUUGUAGAUUGAAAGUAGUCAAGUAAAAACUGCACAGAAGUCUUUUCUACAUACAGGCUUGGUAAGUCUAAUGGUAAUUAUGUGAUUGUUUCCAAAUGGCUACGUUAUUAACAAUAGAGCUUACAAAUGUCUUGAACAGUAUAGGCUUCAUUUUUGCUGAUGGUACAGUGGAGAAGACAUUGGCCAUUAUUCCUAUGCACCUACUUAGAUGUGCUUGUUUUCUAGCACAUGCAAUUCUCUCUUAGAACUAUCAAACAGUUUCUAUCCUAAGGAUUCUUGAUGUCCCAUCCCUGGACACUUUCAAGGUGAGGCUGGAUCAGGCUCUGGGCAACCUGAUUUAGCUGCAUGGUGUCCUAUUCACUGCAGGGGAGUUGGACUAGAUGGCCUUUAGAGGUCCCUUCCAACUCUAAGGAUGUUGUGACUCCAAGAGAGCUGUAGAAGUCGGAUUGGGUGAGAACAGAUCUUGGCUUAUGUAUCUUUCUAAAAAUCAAUCUGAUGUUGCAAACAGAAUUGCGUGUAAUUUCAGUUAUUUUAAAUGUUUUAAAUUAUUUUGUUAUGGAGACAACUGGCCUAGUAGAUAUCUAAUAAUUAAAUGCUGUAUUAGUAUUUUAGUGGAGUAAAUGAUGUUAAUGGCUGUAUUUUUAUCUCUGCAGAUUUAGUCUCUAGGAGACUUGAAAUGCUUUUACCGGCUAUUUAUAGAGUUGCCACUGGAUAAGAUCUUGAUAGAUGUGGAAAGGGUAUAUGUUACAGCUCAUUACUUGUCACUAUACAGUGGGGGUAGUUGGUAUUCUGUGAAAUAAAAACACAUUUACUGGGUAGAUAAAUUACAACUGCAAUAGCAUAGCAAAAUGUGGUAUGGGAGCAGCUGUGUAACUUGUUUCUAGAAGAGUUGUGGCAAGUGACUCUCUGACCUAGCAAUGAUGUAAAUGCCUGUAGGGAAAGAAGCACGCAGUGUUACUAUACCUAGGAUGUUUUUGUCUGGCACUGUGUGCCAGCUCUUUUCUUGCUGGAUGAAGGAUUUCCUUUUUGACAGUUAGAGGUGGUUUUGUGGGUAUCAUUCUUUGACCAUCUGCAACUGCUAACAUUUGAGUCCCUAUAGGAUGGACUGAGGAAACUGCACAGAGUUUGUGUGAAGUCUUUGGACAGGAAAGGAAUUCUGUGUUGGUAUUUGAUUCCACAAUCUCUUAAAUUCUGUUAAUCUUUUUUUCUCUCUCCUCUAAAGAAAUUAUCUAUUGUGAACUGGGAGAGGUCAGUUCCACUGAAGGUU
ensembl:lncRNA